rnacentral:rRNA from 1 species
UUUGUACUGUGAAACUGCGAAGGGCUCAUUAUAUCAGUUAUAGUCUACUCGAUAGUACCUUACUACUUGGAUAACCGUAGUAAUUCUAGAGCUAAUACAUGCAUAAAUACCCAACUGCUUGUCGGACGGGUAGCAUUUAUUAGAUUGAAACCAAUGCAGUCUUCUGGCUGGUAUUGUGUUGAGUCAUAAUAACUGUGCGGACCGUGCUUUUGCNCGGUAAAUCUUUUGAGUUUCUGCCCUAUCAACUUUGGAUGGUAGGAUAUGGGCCUACCAUGGCGUUAACGGGUAACGGGGAAUUAGGGUUUGAUUCCGGAGAGGGAGCCUUAGAAACGGCUACCACAUCUGAGGAAGGCAGCAGGCGCGUAAAUUACCCAAUCCUGACACAGGGAGGUAGUGACAAUAAAUAACAAUGCUCUGGCUCUUCGAGUCGGGCAAUUGGAAUGANAACAAUUUAAAUCCCUUAUCNAGGAUCAAUUG